AGAGUUUGAUCCUGGCUCAGAAUGAACGCUGGCGGCACGCCUAACACAUGCAAGUCGAACGAGACCUUCGGGUCUAGUGGCGCACGGGUGCGUAACGCGUGGGAAUCUGCCCUUCGGUUCGGAAUAACAGUUAGAAAUGACUGCUAAUACCGGAUAAUGACGUAAGUCCAAAGAUUUAUCGCCGAAGGAUGAGCCCGCGUAGGAUUAGCUAGUUGGUAAGGUAAAAGCUUACCAAGGCGACGAUCCUUAGCUGGUCUGAGAGGAUGAUCAGCCACACUGGGACUGAGACACGGCCCAGACUCCUACGGGAGGCAGCAGUGGGGAAUAUUGGACAAUGGGCGAAAGCCUGAUCCAGCAAUGCCGCGUGAGUGAUGAAGGCCUUAGGGUUGUAAAGCUCUUUUACCAGGGAUGAUAAUGACAGUACCUGGAGAAUAAGCUCCGGCUAACUCCGUGCCAGCAGCCGCGGUAAUACGGAGGGAGCUAGCGUUAUUCGGAAUUACUGGGCGUAAAGCGUACGUAGGCGGUUAUUCAAGUCAGAGGUGAAAGCCCGGGGCUCAACCCCGGAACUGCCUUUGAAACUAGGUAGCUAGAAUCUUGGAGAGGUCAGUGGAAUUCCGAGUGUAGAGGUGAAAUUCGUAGAUAUUCGGAAGAACACUAGUGGCGAAGGCGACUGACUGGACAAGUAUUGACGCUGAGGUACGAAAGCGUGGGGAGCAAACAGGAUUAGAUACUCCUGGUAGUCCACGCCGUAAACGAUGAUAACUAGCUGUCCGGGCACUUGGUGCCUGGGUGGCGCAGCUAACGCAUUAAGUUAUCCGCCUGGGGGAGUACGGUCGCAAGAUUAAAACUCAAAGGAAUUG
rnacentral:rRNA from 1 species